rnacentral:rRNA from 1 species
GGGGUCUUUUUGUUGCUUGUCUGCCGGCGAGUAGAUUCCGGGAUGAUUGUUUUGGCGAAGGGUUUGGAAUGGCCUGCCGUAGUGCGUGAGAGUCGUGUAGUUUUUGAUGAUUGUUCUGGUUUGGAGAAGGUGCCCGAGUAGUGCGGGACUCGUGGAAUCUCGUGUGAAUCUGCCCAGACCACUGGGUAAGCCUGAAUACUUACUUGUGACCGAUAGUGGAUUAGUACCGUGAGGGAAUGGUGAAAAGUACCCCGGGAGGGGAGUGAAAUAGUUCCUGAAACCGGGCGCUUACAAGCCGUCAGAGCCUGUUUGUUGGGUGAUGGCGUGCCUAUUGAAGAAUGAGCCUGCGAGUUAGUGACAUGUGGCUUGGUUAACCCGUGUGGGGUAGUCGUAGCGAAAGCGAGUCUGAUAAGGGCGUUUGGUCGCGUGUUCUAGACCCGAAGCGGGGUGAUCUACGCAUGGUCAGGUUGAAGCUAUGGUAAGACGUGGUGGAGGACCGAACCCACUUCAGUUGAAAAUGGAGGGGAUGAACUGUGCGUAGGGGUGAAAGGCCAAUCAAACUCCGUGAUAGCUGGUUCUCCCCGAAAUGCAUUUAGGUGCAGCGUUGAGUUUAGGUUUGUGUGAGGUAGAGCUACUGGUUGGUCAAUGGGCCUUGUUGGUUACUGAGACCAGCCAAACUCCGAAUGCGCAUUAAACUAUUGCUUGGCAGUGAGACAGCGGGGGAUAAGCUUCGUUGUCAAAAGGGAAACAGCCCAGAUCGCCGGUUAAGGCCCCUAAGGGUAUGCUUAGUGGGAAAGGAUGUGUAGUUGCUGUGACAGCCAGGAGGUUGGCUUAGAAGCAGCCAUCCUUGAAAGAGUGCGUAAUAGCUCACUGGUUUAGUGAUUGCGCGCCGAUAAUUUAGCGGGGCUUAAGCAUACCGCCGAUACCGUGGCUUCCAUACGUGUGCUGGCUGCUCUUUGUUGGGUGGUUGGUGUGUGGUUGGGUAGGGGAGCGUCCUGCAUGAGGUGAAGUUUCGGAGUGAUCCGGGGUGGAUUGUGUGGGAGUGAGAAUGCAGGCAUGAGUAGCGAUUGAGAAGUGAGAAUCUUUUCCGUCUUAUAACUAAGGGUUCCAGGGGUAGGUUCGUCCGCUCUGGGUUAGUCGGGUCCUAAGGCGAGGCCGUCAGGCGUAGUCGAUGGUUAACCAGUUUUUAUUCUGGUACCGGCAUAUUCUCGUUCAGUGGUGAGGCGCAUAGUACUAACCAAUAUUUACUGCUGGUUUUCCCUUUCGGGGGUUUGCUGGUGGUGGUCUUGGGACCGAUGUGUGUAGUAGUCAAGCGUGUUAACAGGGGUGACGCAGUUAGAUAGCUCAGCGUCGUGAUGGUUUACGGCGUUCAAGCAUGUGGCCUAUCGGGUUGGUAAAUCCGCUCGUGUUUGGGUGAGGUGUGAUGGUGACCUGUUUUUGUGGGGAUAUUGGGUGAUUCUGUGCUGUCUAGAAAAGCCUCGGCGUUAGAGGGUGUGUUGCCCGUACCCUAAACCGACACAGGUGGUUUGGUAGAGAAUACUAAGACGUGCGAGUGAAUCAUGGUUAAGGAACUCGGCAAAAUGCCUCCGUAACUUUGGGAGAAGGAGGACCCGGCCUUUUACAUUACCUUUGCGGUUUUGGUGGGGGUUGGGGCGCAGAGACCAGGGGGAAGCGACUGUUUAUCAAAAACAUAGGUGUGUGCGAAGCCGUAAGGCGAUGUAUACGCACUGACGCCUGCCCGGUGCUGGAAGGUUAAGAGGAACCCUUAAUCGGCUUUUGUUGGUGAAGGGGUGAAUUUAAGCCCCAGUAAACGGCGGUGGUAACUAUAACCAUCCUAAGGUAGCGAAAUUCCUUGUCGGGUAAGUUCCGACCUGCACGAAUGGCGUAA